GUGGGGCAGGGUGGCCUGGAGUGGGGGUGGGUAGUCAGUCAGGAAUGAGAGGUGGCUUUUUAUUCAUGAAGAAGAAAAUUCCCAGGGAACAGGAUGGCAAACGAGAAGGAAGGCUAUUGUGUAUGAGUGUACAGGUUGUACUCUGCACACUGGGGUUUGGAAGAGGAGACACACCAUAUAUAUUCCCCAAGUCAUGAAAGAAAUAAAGAAAAGACAAAGAUAACCUAGGUCAAACAAUGAAAGAACCAAAAAUGGAAAGAGGAAGAAAGUACAUGAAGUCGUGAAACAAAAUCCUGAAGAGUUUUCUGAGACUCGAAUGAGAUUAAAAGGCAUGAAGAACUCCAGAAAUGCAGGCUGCAAUAAUUAUUACUCUGAUCGUCAAUAGAAUCCAGAAUGCAACCAUCCAGAAGGGCAGGCUUUGGCUGCAGUGUUGCAGGGAGCGCCAGAUUGCAAGCCAAAAGAAAUGGAGAUGUAGGAAGGAUGCUACCACGGGGAGGCGGGUGUUCUCUGGAUGCAGAAGAUGAUAUACAGUCAUCAGUUACACACAAAUGUCAGGGAUUCUUCACUCAAAAGAAAGGAGAAAGCCACCACUUUGAAAGAAAGGAAAUAGUCAAUAUAUUUGACAACCUGUAUGGAAUGGACCUGACCAAUGGGAACAGUGACACGAGCUGAAAUUCACUUCAGCUUUUGGGGUUGCUGCCACACUUGGGUAGAGACCUAAAGAUCAACUUUUCUUUAACCUGCAUCAUUAAUCGUAUAAACCUUCCAGCUCACAGGUAUC
rnacentral:lncRNA from 1 species